ACAAGAGUACAUAUUCACGUGUGUGGAACAUUCUGCUUUUCAAUCUUUGCGGUAGUAUAAGGGCAUCACCUCCUGAGUAGGGACCACACUCAGAGUGAUCCUUCCAGAUGCUGUACAGCACAGGGCUCCCUUACGAUGCUGGGCAGCAGCCGUGAGCUGCGGGUCCAGCCCGUUCCUGGAUGGCCACCGCAAAGGCUGGUUCUCUGCAGCAGAAGUGAUGCUGACCUCUGAUACCAGGU
rnacentral:lncRNA from 1 species